rnacentral:rRNA from 1 species
CCUACGGGAGGCAGCAGUGGGGGAUAUUGGACAAUGGGGGAAACCCUGAUCCAGCGACGCCGCGUGAGUGAAGAAGUAUUUCGGUAUGUAAAGCUCUAUCAGCAGGGAAGAAAGAAAUGACGGUACCUGAGUAAGAAGCCUCGGCUAACUACGUGCCAGCAGCCGCGGUAAUACGUAGGGGGCAAGCGUUAUCCGGAAUUACUGGGUGUAAAGGGGGCGUAGGCGGUAAUGCAAGUCUGGAGUGAAAGGCGGGGGCCCAACCCCCGGACUGCUGUGGAAACUGGGUAACUGGAGUGCAGGGGAGGCAGGCGGAAUUCCUGGUGUAGCGGUGAAAUGCGUAGAUAUUAGGAGGAACACCGGUGGCGAAGGCAGCCUGCUGGACUGUAACUGACGUUGAGGCUCGAAAGCGUGGGGAGCGAACAGGAUUAGAUACCCCAGUAGUC